rnacentral:rRNA from 1 species
UACGUAGGGGGCUAGCGUUGUCCGGAAUCAUUGGGCGUAAAGCGCGUGUAGGCGGUUCGGUAAGUCCGCUGUGAAAGUCGGGGGGCUCAACCCUCGGAUGCCGGUGGAUACUGUCGGACUAGAGUGCGGAAGAGGCGAGUGGAAUUCCUGGUGUAGCGGUGAAAUGCGCAGAUAUCAGGAGGAACACCGAUUGCGAAGGCAGCUCGCUGGGACGUUACUGACGCUGAGACGCGAAAGCGUGGGGGAGCAAACAGG